rnacentral:misc_RNA from 1 species
CAGUCUCUUUCUCAUCGUACACCCAUCAACUACGAAUGCAUCCCGGCGGACAAUACAAAGGCGAUCAGUAUCGCAGGCGCGCGGGUUACAGUCAACAAGGUUAUCUAGCUGCUCAAGGAAACAAUGACCAGUUCUCGGAAAAGACAGGUGGUAGUGGCAGCUACCGGGGCGGCAGAGGACGAGGCGGUUCUUUAAAUAUUGGGUGGGGUGUGGGAGGAAGCGGCAAUUUCCUGGGAUAUCAGGGAAAUCGAGUAGAUGUCGAACCGCCGCUGCAGAGGGAAGUGGAAACGCCAAACGGCCCCACAGUUGACAAAAACGAUCUCUCGACAUGGCGGAGAAAAGACUUCCACGAGCUUGUGAAAGCCUUCGUCGAUGACAAGGCCUCCAACGAGCUUUCAUUCCCAUCCACUUUGACACCUGCUCAACGGAAUAUGGUGCACCGAAUCGCAAUGUCAUUUAACCUCGAUCACAAAUCCAGCGGUGAGGGUGCCAGCCGCGCCUUAAAGCUGACAAAAAUUGGCGGAAUAGUUGAUGCACUGAAGCGGCAGCAAGACGCGGCUGAAGGCGGGGUUCGGGUCAAGACCAUCGAUGGGUAUCAAGGGGCGCAAAAACUCAAGCACGACCAUCUCUCUGAAAGUGAUAUUCUCUCGCUUGAAGAAAAGCUCAAGCCGCACAAAAGCAGCAUGGCUGCUGAAAUCAAGGCUGUGGCGAAUGAGCCAUCCUUGGAGAGAAAGUGUUUCCGAGUGGCUCAGGGAGGACUCUCUGCAGUGCCUAAACUUAGCCGACCAGUCGACCGCGCUCAAUUGAAUCAGUUUCGUAUGUCGCUACCAGCGUACCGGCAUGGCCCACAAAUUAUUAAAUCGGUUCAGGAGAAUUCUGUGGUUGUUAUUUGUGGCGACACUGGCUGCGGCAAAACUACGCAAAUUCCGCAGAUGCUCUACGACGCUGGGAUUUUCGACAAGCACCAUGACGUCAUCUGUACGCAGCCUCGUCGAAUCAGCGCACUCUCUGUUGCGCAGCGCGUGGCGACGGAACGGGGUGAGGCCUGUGGGGAUAGCUGCGGGUACGUUAUCCGCUUCGAGAACAUGACGAGCGCGAGCUCGCAUAUUAUUUACCAGACUACAGGUAUAUUGCUACGCCGCCUCCACUCUGAGCCGGAGUUGAAGAAUGUCGCAUGCGUCGUCGUCGAUGAGGUGCACGAGCGCGAUGUAGAAACGGACUUUUGUCUGCUCUUGUUGCGCGAUAGACUGCGUGCACAGCAGGAGCAUCCGGAGAUAUACCCACUGCAGCUCAAGCUUGUAGUGAUGUCGGCAACAGUGCAGGUUGACGCGCUUGUGUCGUACUUUUCUGGCUACAACAGAGGUCGCGAUAUCCCGCUCAUCACGAUCCCUGGUACACUGUUUCCUGUGAGGGAGUUUUUUUUGGAGGAUGCCUUGCGCAAAGUUGGCGCCUCGGCGUCCGCCGCACCAGCGAUGAGACUCCUUUCGAACCAGAAGCGAGAGGCUCAGCGGAGCGCCGACACGCUAGAGACCGAGGGUAAUGCUGCGUUGUACGAACAGCUGAAGUCGGUGGUGUUCGACACGUUUGACCGGGAUGUGGAAGGGCUUGUUCCUUACGAUCUUGUGUGUGAUUUAAUCAAGAAGAUUCACGAUGAGUCUCGUUCUCACGCGGAGAGUAUUUUGGUAUUUCUGCCAGGGUGGGCGGCGAUUUCCUGCAUUGCGAAUCGACUCAAGCGCUCACAGUUUGCAAGGGAGCUCUCUAUCUUGAUGCUACACUCUAGCCUUACGACGGCAGAGCAGCAGCGCGUUUUUGAGCGGCCACCGAAAAACUACCGCAAAAUUGUGCUCGCCACUAGCAUCGCUGAGACAAGUAUCACGAUCAACGAUAUUGUCUACGUUAUUGACAGCGGUCUCGUGAAGGGGACGUCAUACGAUCCUAUGGGCAACACCAGCGCUCUCAAGGCGACGCUGAUCGGCAAGGCAAACGGGGUGCAGCGACGGGGCCGCGCCGGGCGCUGCCAGCCUGGUGUGUGCUAUCAUCUGCUUCCUAAGGCGGUGUACGAUGACUUGCCCGGCUUCCUCCCUCCCGAAAUCGUUCGGUCUCCACUCGAGGAGGUAUGCUUGCAAUUGAAGGCCAUCGAGUCGAACCAGAAAUGUGCGCAGGUAUUAUCGCGGGCGAUGAGUGCGCCGCCUACGGAGGCAAUAGAGCACGCCGUACAAUUCUUGACGGACAUGGGUGCGUUUACCACUGAGGAGAAGAUGACCAACCUGGGCAGGGCUCUGGCAGCGCUCCCAACGCACCCACUAUUGGGCAAGAUGCUCUUCACGGCCGCCUGCUUUGGUGUUCUAGACACCGUCGCAACGAUUGCGGCUGGUCUUUCGGUCAAGACGCCGUUCAUUCGCCCACAGGCCUUUGAAAAGAACAGCGCUAAAGAGAACCUGCUUCGGAUUGACAACAACGCUCUGUCGGACCACUUUUGCGUCGUAACUCUGUUCACAGGGUGGAUUCGAAGCGGCCGGAGUUUGCAUUACGCGACUUCCCACUUUGCUGAUAACAACACGCUGCGUUCGCUGGAGCGGACGAAGCUGCAGUUCAUCAGACUGGUGCUCCAAUCGUCCUUUGCGAAAGGGAUCGUGUCCCCGGAGGCUCACUUUUCGCGGUACGCAAGCAACAGAGGGCUUGUCAGGCUCGUUCUCCUCUGGUCUCUGUACCCGCGCCUUGCUACCCUUGAGUACCGUGCCAACCGGGGAAGCCAGAACCCUCAGGUGUUCUGCUGGGACAACAAGGCUGCCGUGUUCUCCAUGAAUUCGGUGCUGGGGUUCUACAAGCGUAGAGACUUUGGCGCGAACUCCUUUAUCGUAUACUACGACCGUAUGAACCUCGAGGCGAUGCUGAGCGUUUUCGACGCAACAGCGGUGUCCCCGAUUGACGUUGUGCUGUGCCUGCGCCAGCUCACGGUGCGGCCGCUGCUUGAGGUGCCAGCGCUCUUCUUGCAGGACACUGAGAGCAAGCUGGCUCCGCCGGCGUACCUAGACGUGAACAGCUUGCCAGACAAGGAGAACUACGCGGCGAUGUUUUUCGAUGGCGACAAGAAGUUGUACGUGGCCCCGAAGAAGCUGGCUGGCGUCCUUCAAACCGCGCGGGACUGCUUAGAUUUCUUCCUCGCCACGUGCAUCAAAAGCGUCCGCGCAAAGAAAUUUCCUGAUUCCUUGGUGCAUGUUUUGGCACAGAUCGUGGGAUAUCCCAUCAUUGGCUUCGAUACACUUGCCGCUGGGGUGGCUAGUGCAACUCACAUGGAUCCUGCUAUUCAACAAAUGCAGCUGGCCAGCGCACAUCUACCCGGGUUUGCCCGUCGCCAGGGGCAGGGUGACAUAGACUCGGACGUCUCUGACGAUGAGGCGCCGAUCAUCGGAGACGAAGACGACGACACAUACCUGGGGCGCUUGACCGCAGAGCAAAAAGCAUCCGUGGCGGCCGCUUACGGUGACUUGGCGGUGUUCCGCUACGACGGCGUCGCAGAGCUCUUGCAUGCGGCCAAGAGGGCAGAGGGCUUGUCAGCCUUGCCGGAGGAGAAAAUGGAAGGAGGGGAUGUGAACGCCGCCGGCGACGAUGAGGAAGACGAGGAGGAUGAGGACGAAGAGAUCAUCGUUGCUAACCUGAACCUGGAGGAGAUGCAAGUUCUGCAAAACGCGUGAGUGCCUCUCAAAUCGCUGGCCAUCUCUUUUCGCUCGUCAGCUUUGAAGGCGGCCUAGCGUGGGGGUGGGUGCUUUGACGCUAAUGCCCAUCAGCCCAGGUGAAGACGCUGCUUGCUUCAGCUGCUUGUUGCGUUUCGGCAUGUUCUGUCGUUUUUUUCCUUCCCCCCUCUCGCUGCGCUAAUUUGUGCUGGUGAUUCAUAUCUUAUUACUGCCUCUAUGUUCUGGGCGCCGAGAAGCAGUCUCCAAUUGUAAGGUUUGUUUGCUUCUCUUUUCGCUUUGUUGUCUUCAGGCGAACUCCCUCCGCAAGAAGUAUUUAUGUUAGAAUAAGUUCUCGCUGCAUGCGCACGCAGGCACUCAUCUGCAUGAGGUGCAGAUCUCUCUGCACACUAUCCUGU